rnacentral:SRP_RNA from 1 species
CCGUGCUAAGCGGGGAGCUGGCGGUGCCCUGUACCCGCAAUCCGCCUAGCGGGGCCGAAUUCCCGGUCGAGGGGCCGAUCUGGCAGCCUUGGCCUCGCGCAAAGCGGUGUUGAUGGUGAGGUCCUACUCGGUGGACGCCCGCGAACCAGGUCAGGUCCGGAAGGAAGCAGCCUUAAGCGGUUCCGUUCAGGCGCAGUGGGAUCACCUCGCCGGAGCUGGCAGCACGAGUACUACUGCCGCGUGAGGUCUCGAAACCGGGUGCACGG